rnacentral:rRNA from 1 species
AUUGAACGCUGGCGGCAUGCUUUACACAUGCAAGUCGAACGGUAACAGGGUGCUUGCACCGCUGACGAGUGGCGAACGGGUGAGUAAUGCGUCGGAACGUGCCGAGUAGUGGGGGAUAACGCAGCGAAAGUUGUGCUAAUACCGCAUACGUACUGAGGUAGAAAGUGGGGGACCUUCGGGCCUCACGCUAUUCGAGCGGCCGACGUCUGAUUAGCUAGUAGGUGGGGUAAAGGCUCACCUAGGCGACGAUCAGUAGCGGGUCUGAGAGGAUGAUCCGCCACCCUGUGACUGAGACACGGCCCAGACUCCUACGGGAGGCAGCGGUGGGGAAUUUUGGACAAUGGGCGAAAGCCUGAUCCAGCCAUGCCGCGUGUCUGAAGAAGGCCUUCGGGUUGUAAAGGACUUUUGUCAGGGAGGAAAUCCCUAGUGCUAAUAACACUGGGGGAUGACAGUACCUGAAGAAUAAGCACCGGCUAACUACGUGCCAGCCGCCGCCGUAA